UCGAGGAUCAUUCGCAAUGGGGGAAACCCUGACGAUGCGACGCUGCGUGGAGGAUGAAGGCCCUCGGGUUGUAAACUCCUGUCAUGAGGGAAGAGGAGAGCGCCGCCAACACCGGCGCGAUUUGACGGUACCUCAAGAGGAAGCCACGGCUAACUCUGUGCCAGCAGCCGCGGUAAUACAGAGGUGGCGAGCGUUGUUCGGAUUUACUGGGCGGAAAGGGCGCGUAGGCGGCGGAGUGUGUCGGGUGUGAAAUCCCAGGGCCCAACCCUGGAAGUGCGCCCGAAACUG
rnacentral:rRNA from 1 species